GGCAGCGCGGGGCAACCUGGCGGCGAGUGGCGAACGGGUGAGUAAUAUAUCGGAACGUACCCAAGAGUGGGGGAUAACGCAGCGAAAGUUGCGCUAAUACCGCAUACGAUCUAAGGAUGAAAGCAGGGGACCGCAAGGCCUUGUGCUCCUGGAGCGGCCGAUAUCUGAUUAGCUAAUUGGUGAGGUAAAGGCUCACCAAGGCGACGAUCAGUAGCUGGUCUGAGAGGACGACCAGCCACACUGGAACUGAGACACGGUCCAGACUCCUACGGGAGGCAGCAGUGGGGAAUUUUGGACAAUGGGCGCAAGCCUGAUCCAGCAAUGCCGCGUGAGUGAAGAAGGCCUUCGGGUUGUAAAGCUCUUUUGUCAGGGAAGAAACGGCUGUGGCUAAUAUCCACGGCUAAUGACGGUACCUGAAGAAUAAGCACCGGCUAACUACGUGCCAGCAGCCGCGGUAAUACGUAGGGUGCAAGCGUUAAUCGGAAUUACUGGGCGUAAAGCGUGCGCAGGCGGUUUUGUAAGUCUGACGUGAAAUCCCCGGGCUUAACCUGGGAAUUGCGUUGGAGACUGCAAGGCUAGAAUCUGGCAGAGGGGGGUAGAAUUCCACGUGUAGCAGUGAAAUGCGUAGAGAUGUGGAGGAACAUCGAUGGCGAAGGCAGCUCCCUGGGUCAAGAUUGACGCUCAUGCACGAAAGCGUGGGGAGCAAACAGGAUUAGAUAUCCUGGUAGUCCACGCCUCUAAACGAUGUCUACUAGUUGUCGG
rnacentral:rRNA from 1 species